rnacentral:lncRNA from 1 species
UGUUGGGUACCACCUUAAUAAUUGCAGUUUUAAAAUUUAUUUGUUUUGUUUUGUACACAUAUGCACGCUGUUGCCAUUUUGUUAUUGAUUUUUGUGUUCUUUGUCAAUAAUUUUUUCUUAUGUUUCGUCUCGCUCUUAAUUUGAAUUGUUUUUUUUAUGUCUCUCUUCGAGUGACUUUUCUGUUUUGCACUAGGUUCGUUUUUUGCUACUUUUCAUGCAUCUUCUUUUUUUAUAUUGUCAAACGUCUUUCAACUUAUUUAACAAAUUAAUGUUGUUUUGCCCUGCAAUUUUCCCACCGAUUUAAGUUUAGCAACCAACAAUAUUCAAUCUUAUUUGGUAACAUAAAUGAUCUUCUUCAUGUACCAAUACAUGCUUUUCUGUUAUCUUUCUCUGACAGAAGGAUUCUCUUUGAUCACACAUCAACUGUAUGACAUCUUUUUCCAGCCAGAAAGAGCUCAUCUGCUUUUCUACACUAUCAAGGCUCAUUUGGGACAGAGAUGCAUUUCAACAACUAUGUCUGUCUAUAGAUAAUUUGUCUCCAAGAUAAAAUAAUUACUUCAACAGUUUUCAAUAAAAUGAAACUAGUUUGAAUUCUGACUGAAUUAUUUCAAGAAUAUAAUU